GACGAACGCUGGCGGCGCGCCUAACACAUGCAAGUCGAACGAACGAGAGAGAGCUUGGUUUCUUGAGCGAGUGGCGAACGGGUGAGUAACGCGUGAGGAACCUGCCCCUAAGAGGGGGAUAACAGUUGGAAACGACUGCUAAUACCGCAUAAGACCACGUGGCCCCAUGGGACAGAGGGAAAAAGAGCAGUCUGCUGUGAGAUGGCAUCGCGUCCGAUUAGCUGGUUGGUGAGGUAACGGCCCAAGAAGGCGACGGUCGCUAGCCGGAAUGGGAGGCUGAGCCGCGACGUUUGGGCUAGGCCACAGCCCAGAAUCUUACGGAAGGGAGGAGAGGCUGACAUUGCAACAUGGCGUAAGCGGUGAUGCAGCGCCGAGGGGUAGAGGGAGAAGGUCUUCGGAAUCUGAACUCCUAUUGUUGGGGGAGAUAGUGACGGUACCCAAUAAGGAAGCGACGGCUAACUACGUG
rnacentral:rRNA from 1 species